GUUUGUCAUUGCGUUGGAAACAUUUGUCAUUUGUGAUAUUGUGGUUGUGAUUGAACCAAAAACUAACAUUAAUAAAUGUUACUUGUUCUUUUAUUGCAUUUAAGUAAAAAUAUUCUUAAUAUGCAAUCAUGUAUGAAAUCAAGUUAUAAAUAAUUAUCAUGUCAAGUUGAGCUCUUUUCUUUGGAUACACUGUAGAAAGUACAUAAAUAAGGUGCACCAUAAAUGUAUCUUAUUACUCAUCAAACCAGUUGACAAUGGAUGGGACAAAUGAAAAACUAUAAAGCAAAUUGGAGCAGAAAAGGUAUUGCAGUGAUUCAUUGAAAGAAAAAUUUUCUGAUGAAGUAGACACAAAUUGAGAUGAAGCUCAUUACCAUGUGCAUCACUAUCAGAAACUUGAAGAUCACCCGAAUGUUACAGUUGCACAGUGUUUUGCCAAACCAAAUUGUAGAAACUAAAUAAUAAAGAUCUCAAUUGAUAAUAUUCAAGCCUCAUAAAUUGUUUAUUGCAACAUAUCCCACAUUUCACUGUAGGCUAAUGAGAUGAAUUGGAGAUUCAAUUAUUGGAGCGACUACUAUUUGAUUCACAAAUUCUAGCACGAUAAUUAUAUGUGUAUCUACAUAAGUGUGCAUGUAUAUGUAUGAGUGAGGAAGUAUUUACUUGAAUGUUUUUUCUGAUUGCUGUUCACUAAUAAAUUAUUAUAAAAUAAGUGUAAAAGUUAUUAAAUCAGAUAACAUAUUAAGUACGAAACCAUAAAU